UGUUGGGUUCCUCCAGCUACUACCACAGACCAAAAACAUGCAUGUUAGUUAGAUUGGAGACUUUUAAUAGUCCGUAGAUGUGACUCCUUGUGUGUCCCUGUGAUGAACUGCAGACUUGUGCAGGGUGUCCACCUUCCACCCAGUGACUGCUGAAAGUAAACACCAACUUCCUACUGACAAUUAAGUGGGUCAGAAAUUGAACAAAAUAAUGAUUUUUUGAAUUUGGCUCUUAUCACAAAAGAAGAUUAUUAAAACUGUAUUCCAAUUUGCAAGUAUGGUUUUUUUCAUGAUGGCUUUGGAUUGAUGCACUUCCACCCAUUUCAAGAGCUAAACUCAUCUUUAUCCAGUGGUGUUUAAAAAUGCCAGCACAAAAACGAGGGCAUGCAGAGUGUGACACGUCUCUCUACCUCCAAUCUUUCCAAAUGAUGUCCAGACACUCUGUGGCGCAGCAUCCAGCAAUAUGUCCCACAUGGCUGCAUGGUGGCACAGUGGUUAGCACUGUUGCCUCGCAGCACGAAGGUCACAGGUUCGAAACUCGGCUGCGGCCUUUCUGCGUGGAGUUGCGUGUUCUCCCCAUGCAUGCGUGGGUUUCCUCCGGGUACUCCGGUUUUCCCCACAGAUCACAACAUGCCCUAUAGGUUAUAAAUUGUAAGUCACUUUGGAUAAAAGCAUCUGCCAAAUGAAUAAACAUAAACAUGGGUUUAAUGUCAACCAACACUCUUAACUCAGUAAGUUUUGCAGAAAUUCAUCAAAACAUUCUGCCAUAGUUAAGACUCAUCCCCCUACCCCUCAUACCAAACUCCACAUAUUGAACAACAUCCUUGUUUAAAACUGUGAGCUGUUUUGACUGUUUGCAGCUACAGUCAAGAUAUCUCCCACACACAGUCAGCCUUAGCAAGCGAGAUGAUGGCAACCAGUGGCGGCUGGUGACAUUUUGUUUGGUGGGGCGCGUUUAUGCUGUGUGUUUUCAGAUGUGUUAACCACAUAUCACAACUAGGGGUUACAGAAGUACCAUUCUUAUGAUAGAAUCCAUGUUUUCUACCCCAACAACACCCAAUGACGCUAAAUAAAAAGGCUGAAAAAAAGUUAAAUACACAUACUGAGAAAAACACACAGUAGCAACAUGAUCCUGUUCACAGAACCAGCCGUUUUAAUUAAAGCCCAGACCCACCUCUUUAUAACAAUAUACGUACCGUUACGCUACCUGCGAAACUCAAGGAACUCAGCAGCAAAACCAACAAAGUAAAUUUCAUGAAAUCUAAAGCAUGAAUGUAGUUUUACCUUAGCUGCUUUUUGACCAUAAAAAUCUGUGUUAUGGUAAAAAAAAAAGUCCACUCAAUUCAUGUUAUCCAAUGUCGCAACGUCACACUGAGUUGAUUCCUGAUUGUCUUGUGCUUUUUAUGUAUUUUUUUUAUAUUUUUUUAUUCCUAUCUUCUUCUUCCUGUGAGAUUGGUGGGGCAGAACCCUAGUGCCCCCUAUGGACUGGCUGCCUCUCAUGGCAAUGUGAUUUUGUAACAGUGGGGCAUUACACAAACAGCAUUAUUAAAUAUUAACCAAAUCAGAAUGACUCCGUCUUUUUAACACAAGUUUAAAAUUCAGAGAUGAAGAGCAGUGGCUGAUUGCAUCUAUGGGAAUGCUCAACUUUUCAUAGAUAGAAAUGUUUUUUAGCCUUUAGUGGUUUAGGCUGAAGUUUUAGUCUGACCAGGGAAAGGUAGGGAGACAGUAGGAGACAACACUUGAUAAACCUCCAUCCUUCAGGAAAGGAGACAUUCAUUUGUGUUAACAUGCAAAGUAAAACAAAAUUUAAUUUUAUAAAAUUAAUUGCAUUGAUAAAUUAAGAAACAUGCUUUUAUAAAGUAUAGCAGGUGAGACAUCCAGACGUAGGAAUGUGGUCACUUUUCUGACCUCUAACAAGAACCUUUUCUCUGAGAGCAAAAUAAAGUAACAAAAACACAAUACAUGGAGACGGCCCAGCUUUAUAUCACCUCUAUAAAAUGCUUUGUUUCCAAAUGGCAGUUUUUUUUAUUGAGCCUUGUUGUGAGAAUACAAAAAUACAACUAUUUGUCAUUUUCUUGCAGACAUAAAUAACUUCUGUGGAAAAGUCAUUUACUUGAAAAUAUGUUCAAAAACUUAUAUUAAUCAUUCAGCUUUUACAAUGACUUAACAAACAUAUGUGCAACUGUUGGUGCCAUAUUCACUAGAAGAAGAAGAAGAAGAAGAAGAAGAAGAAGAAGAAGAAGAAGAAGAAGAAGAAGAAGAAGAAGAAGAAGAAGAGGAAGAAGAAGAAGAAGAAGAAGAAGGAGAAGAAGAAGAAGAAGAAGAAGAAGAAGAAAAUAUCAUUUCUAUAGCGCCUCUCAAGAUAAAAAUCACGAGGCACUUCAUAAAAACAAAAACAAAAAAUAUAAAAUUUGUAAAAAUAUAAAAAAGCAUUUCGAAAAUGUUUAAAAAUAUAUUUCAAAUGAGCAAGAAUAGGCAAUUGCGAUUUAAAAGAAAAAAUGUUAAGAAAGAGAGAGAGUGAAUAGGAAAGAGGGAAAUCAGUGGAUCCUGAGGAAGGUGGAAUAGGUGGGGAGAGCAGAAUAAAGAGAGAGUGGUGAAGAAGGUCAUACAAAAGCCAGCUUGAACAAGUGAGUCUUCAGCUGCUUUUUGAAGGAGACCACUGAGUCCACUGAUCUCAGGCUCACUAAUAGUAAAUACCACUUCAGAAUCACAUUUAUUCUUUGUGCAGGGCUGCUUGUAGCACUGAAACAAAUAAUUUUAUAUUUUCAUCUUUGUUCUCUUGUUUAUACAGUUUUAUUUGGACUGUGCCUGAUGAAAUCAUCCUAAUCUCUUCAAAUGAAUGCAAAUAUAGAUUUUCUCACACUAUUAAGAAAGGCUUUGAAAUGGGACUUCCACUGCACCUGGGAGUUUUAAACCAAGUGCCUUGCAUUCUGACAAUCAAACUAUUUCAAUUAAGUUGUUUUAUUUCUUAUUAUUUGUUGCUACCAUGCCAAAUGAUUUACAAUUUUCAAAUUAAAUGGACAAUUUUGGACAAUUUUAUUAAACUUACUGAGUUGUAAAAUAAAGGUAAUUUAUGUAUCCUCAGGUAAAGACACAGGGAAAGUUCUGGUACGGCUUAUAAAGACGGGAGAAUUAACCCAUAUGUUCCCCUUAUCAAAGAUGCCCAGCCUUAUACAGUUGCAUAUUUUGAAAGAAUAACUUCUCAAAUGUAUACUCUGAUAACAAGUAGACUUUAUCUCUGAAGCACUACGAUUUACAUCUGAAAAAGUCUUAGAUGGAAAGGCUUAAAAUAAUUUACACAGAGUGCAGUUACACAUUUAUGAAAAAAGGUUGUGUGAUUCAGUGAUUAAAACAGUAUUUACUUGUUCACACAUCAAAAACUGCAUAAAGUCAAGCCUAAACAAUCAAUAACUUAUAUAAAUUAUAAUAAAUUAAUUAUAAACAGUAAGUGUUGUAUCCUUAGUUUAAAGCACAAUAAAUAACUUAUUUUUCUUAUUAGUAUUUCGAUCACAUAAAAAAAGCACUGAAACAGGGAGUAAGAGGGGAAAAAUAUAUAUGUUUUGUUUUCAGAUUUAAUGCUAAUAGGAAUGAAAAAAAUAUCAUUGGGCUGCACUGAGCAUGUGGGGAUUAUAACUGAAGACCUGUUGUGGAACACCAGUGUGUUUAGCCCUCAUUCUGCCAUCAUCAUUAGCCUCAGUCUUUUACAACACCACUGCAUUUGAGUUUCAUCCUCAGAAGGGAAGUGCACAUUAUUUAGAAGGCACAGUAAAUUAAGAGCCUGCUUGAAAAGCAAAACGUGACAAAAAAAUACUUAUCAUCACAUUCAUUUAACAUUCCCCUACCUUUUGAAACCACUUAUUCCUGGAAAAGGUCACGAGAGCUGCUUUCUAUCCAACAGCCACUGGGCAAGAGGUGAGGGAUAUCCUGCAGGUUACUAGUUCAUCACAGGGACAUAUAGAGACAAAGAAGACACAAACAUUUACUCCCUCACAGCUAGGAACAAAUUGGCUAGAUAAUCUGUUUUAAGAUUUGGGAUUAAAAAUACAAGAGAGAAUGUGAAUGGGAGCAGGAGGUGCUGCUGGAGCAAAGGGAGGGAGGGAGGGUCACCGUGAGAGGGGGAUUCUUCAUGAAUGAAUUAAUACCGGAACAAUUUUGGUGAAAAAUAAUUCAGGGAGACGGUGGGAACAAGGAGUAAAAUAGUUUACUGUUUUUAACCUCCUUGGGCCCUGUGUCCACAUAUGUGGAUAUUGGCUCCUUGCACUUUAAAAUUUUAUUUUCUUCUUCUUACACGUUUUUGUCAUUAUUUAUAGACACUUUAUAUUGACUUAGAUAAAAAAUAUUUAUUUGUUGCCUUUCUUUUUUUUAGGAUAUUUGACAACAUUUUAUUUAAUUAAUUUUGAUUUAAUUUAAAUGUUUGUAACUUUGUUUCUGUUAAUUACAGUCGACUAAUCUGUAAAUGCUAGAUAUGAUUUUUCUUUUAAUUCAAACCAAAUAAAAGUUUGGGUCCCAGGAGGUUGAAACAGUACUUCUAUGUUUACCUGCUUACACUAGAGAUAUUCUUCUGCAACUACUACAUCAGAUUGUGUCUGUGCACCGAUUACUGUCAAAUGUAUCUGCCAGUCAAACAGGGAUCAUUGGGUUCAAUUGAAACUUUAGUGGACUGUAUACAAGAGGUGCACUCAUGGUUGGCUUCCCAUUGUUUGGCUUUUAAUGGGAGCAAAACCAAGGUCAUCAUUUUACCAAAAAUGAGCUCCAGCUGCAUAAAGGGGACCUCCUAUUGUUUGCCCAAUCGGAGACAACUGCAAUCUCAGAUUUGGGUGUUAAGUUAGAUUCUGCAGAAACAUUCGACUCCCAAAUAAAUACAGCGGUCUGUUCUCGUUUCUUUCAGCUUCAGUGCUUGUCUAGGAUUAGGUCGAAGAAGCUCUCAAAAAGUAUUUCGAUUGUAAUCUAUGCUGGACUGAGUCACUCUACACUUUCAUGGCUGCAGAUGGUCCAAAACGCACCAGCAAGUUUUAUCUUUGGAGUGAAGAAGUGGGAGCAUAACACUUAACACUCUACAAGGGCUCCCUGUGAAAAACAACAUAGAAAUCAAGGUUCUAGUCAAUGUCUUCCAUUCACUUGCUGGAACCGCUCCUCCCUGUUUAUAAGCGCUUAUUAAAAUAACUAGAUCUCUUUGUUUCAUGGACAAGGAUCUGUUGGUGGUCCCUAGGUCUAGACGUGAAUUGCCGAGGUGAUCGAGCAUUUGCAGUACUUGGCCUGAAACCUGGAACAAGGUCAUUGUUCAUCAGACAAUCUAAAUCAAUCUGGAGUUCUAAGCCUUGUCUUAAGUAGCAUUUUAGAUCAAUCUGCUUUAUUUAUUGGGUUUUAUAUUGAUUCAUUCCAUUUUUAUUGUUUUUCAGUGAGUCCUAUUGUCACAUUUCUUUGUAUGGCGCUCAGCUUGUUGGGCUCCCUUGAUUGGUGGCAGAUAAAGUGAUAUGCAAAUGAAUUAAUUAAAUGAAAAUAAAAUGAAGUUUUUGGCCAACAAGGUAAAAAGUAAUAUCAGAUAAAUCCUUCACAAAAUGUAACCCCUAAAUCAGUCAUUUGAUCCAUGGGACAGAUGAUUACAUUUAGCUGGCAGUGGUGAACCUAUAUGUUAUCCAGAUUUUUUUGUUACAGGCAAAAACAGCAAUGUUUAAAACCCCACUCAUCAGCUGAGGCUUUAAUACUCACAGUCGCUGAAAUAAGAGUGAGCGAUGAUACUUGAAGUAAAUGUUUAUUGACAUUGGUGGCUCAAGUUCAACUUUUGUUUCUUUAACAUCAAAUUUUCUCCUUUUCAUUCUUUGUACAUGAAUCCAUCCUCCCUGUUCCUUCACUAAUGGAUUAAAACCCCUUAAAUGUGCACCAGAAUGGAGUUACCUGUACCAGAAACUGCUCAUGCAUAUUCACGCUUCUUUACAGCAGAGCAGGUUGAAUCUCACUUGUGUUUAAGCAGGUGCUGAUACUGCAGAAGAUUAAGAUCUGUAACAUACUCUCCUGAGCCAACCAUAUGCAGCUCUGCUAAAGUCAUUUGUUGCACAACAAACGUGUGUGUUUCUGAGAGGAUCCUGAUGUCAUACUUGUGCAGUGGCACCAAUGUGUGUGCUCCACAUGCUCCACCUCCAGCACUUCUACUGUAAUUAAUUGGCUGGGUGAAAGUGCUGAGCCAGCACGGCCCACACUGGGACGCCAAACAGAAAACACACAAAUCUUUACGUGCACCUCCAGAUAUUUGUUGCACAUGUACCCAAGAUUGUGUGAGUCAUCUGUGGGUGCAGAAAUCAAAGGUUCUGUCACAGCAUUGAGCAUUCCCAUUUUCCCGUCAGCUUUCAUUAACCAACCUGUCAACUAACAGCUGUAACGCUGCUCUUACAACUUGUUUGUAGUUGUUCUCCCCCACAGCCACACAGAUUAAAGUUGCUGAAUAACCGAGUGAGACACGCACCAAAUUAACUUCAAUGGUGUGUGAAAUUUUUAAACAACUAUGUAAGAGAUCAAGAAAUGUAAAAUAGGAUAAUUUCCUUGUUUUAUUUUGGGAGAGUUAUGUGUGAAUUAUCUGCAGCUUAUAGAGACACCACGGUCAGAGGAGGCCUGUGAUUUUUUUUCAUCUGGAAAUCACUGCAACACUAUCUCUCUUGCCAGGGAAUAGUUCCACAAACACACCUCCAGAUGGAUGCCUGACACACACACACACACACACACACACACACACACACACACACACACACACACACACACACACACACACACACACACACACACACACACACACA